CACACCGCCCGUCACACCAUGGGAGUCAGUUGCUCCAGAAGUGGCCGCGCCAACCGCAAGGAGGCCGGUCCCCAAGGAGUGACUGGUGACUGGGGUG
rnacentral:rRNA from 1 species